GACGAACCGUGCAAACGUUGUUCGGAAUCACUGGGCUUAAAGGGCGCGUAGGCGGGCUCGCAAGUCAGGGGUGAAAGCCUCCAGCUCAACUGGAGAAGUGCCUUUGAUACUGCGGGUCUCGAGGGAGGUAGGGGCGUGCGGAACUUCCGGUGGAGCGGUGAAAUGCGUAGAUAUCGGAAGGAACACCGGUGGCGAAAGCGGCGCGCUGGACCUCUUCUGACGCUGAGGCGCGAAGGCUAGGGGAGCAAACGGG
rnacentral:rRNA from 1 species